GUCUAUGGCCAUACCACCCUGAACGCGCCCGAUCUCAUCUGAUCUCGUCUGAUUUCAGAAUCAGGGUUGGGCCUGGUUAGUACUUGGAUGGGAGAAGCCAUGGAUU
rnacentral:rRNA from 1 species